GAUGAAGAACGCAGCGAAAUGCGAUAAGUAAUGUGAAUUGCAGAAUUCAGUUAAUCAUCGAAUCUUUGAACGCACAUUGCGCCCGCCAGUAUUCUGGCGGGCAUGCCUGUUCGAGCGUCAUUACAACCCUCAGGCCCCCGGGCCUGGCGUUGGGGAUCGGCGGAAGCCCCCUGCGGGCACAACGCCGUCCCCCAAAUACAGUGGCGGUCCCGCCGCAGCUUCCAUUGCGUAGUAGCUAACACCUCGCAACUGGAGAGCGGCGCGGCCACGCCGUAAAACACCCAACUUCUGAAUGUUGACCUCGAAUCAGGUAGGAAUACCCGCUGAACUUAAGCAUAUCAAUAAGCGGAGGA
rnacentral:misc_RNA from 1 species